rnacentral:lncRNA from 1 species
AUCCUAAUGCCUUGUGUAGAAAGCCGCAUCAUCGGAUUCGUCUGUAGUUGAAAUAAAAAGUGAAGAGGAUACUUCAACAGGAGAAGACGGAGACAAACUACGGGGAGAAGGAGAAGAGGAUGAGGAGGGGGAGGAGGAAGAAGAAGAAGAAGAGAAAGAAGAGGACGAGGAUGAAGAUCGUAUUAGUAACCUCUUCUUUUGUUCAGUGUCAACUCAGACGGCGAAAAUUGAUAAGAAUGGAAAUUUCAUAUUAACAAAGGGAGCAAUGAAGUAUUACAUAUAUCCGUCCGUAAAAGACACUGUCUUCCGCAAUACGGAGGGCGAGGCGAAAAUGGAGAUUAGCCCUGUAUUACCGUCCGUAACGUUGACAGAUGCAUCUGUGAGCUACAGAGAAGGCAGCUUUGAGAGGAGACUCCAAGUAUGCACAGAAGAAGCCGGUGAUGGGGACUCAGAUUACAGUUUCAAAAGAUCCUGGCGUGCCUACUAGAAACAGAGGCAUUCAGAUGCUGUGCAAAGAGGUUGUUUGUGACGAAGAAGAUGAUUGCUACACCGGCUACAAUUCGAAACUUAGAGAACUUACUUAAAUUAUUUUUCUUCUUUGAGCGGAAUACUAUACAUAAAUAUUAAUUUUUAAUUUCAGGUAAAGAUGUAAACAUAUUGUCAUCUAAAUCGAAUGUAUGAAUGUGUUUUAACAAAUUCUUGCAUUGAUAUAAUCUAAGUUUGAGUCUGUCCACGUUCGCAAAAGUUUUAGUGCUAAAACCAGUACCGGAGGACACGUUGUUGUACUAUUUUAGUGCAUGUGUUGUUAGUUUAGUUUACGUUAUUUUGAUGGGAAUAUCAUCUAUUUGCAACAUGUAUAACUAUUGUAAAGUAAUUAAGAAUAAAUCAGUAGUGUAAAUCAUAAGUUUAACUUCCGAAGAGGACAAAACUUUGAGCAAAUUGUUAGUAGCUUAGAUUAGCUGUUUAACAAAAUGUAAUAUAAAUGUUUAUAAGAUUUUUGUGCCCAGUGUAUAAAAUAUAUAAAUGUUGUCUAUGUGAAAAAAUUAUGAAUUUGUUAUGGUAUGUGCGUGGGUCGGAUUCCCAUGUCUGGAAAAUAUUUGUGUGAUGAACUUGGAUGUUUACCAGUGUCUGUGCGGGGCAAAUUCAGAGCUAACCGAUGGGUUAUUGAAAUUCCUACAUUGCACGAAUCGGAAACGGGAUUAGCGAAUUUUAUCAUGGUUAUACAAAUACAAGGGCUAAAUGUUGUACUAGUCACCCUAGUCUAAUGUUCUACAAUACCCAAAAUAAAAAAAUAUUUAUUUAUUUACCACAUACUUAUAUAAGCAUUACAGGGUAAACCUUAUGCGUUUAUAUAGUUCUCGUGUUCGAUCUAUUAGUCUUGCAUUAGGUACUUGAACGUAUUAUGAAUGUAUUAUGUAGUUGAGUAGG